CUUUCAUCCUAUCCCCUUCAAUGCUCCUUACGCAGAAAUCUUGCCUCCUACCCCCACCUGGAGACUUUUCGGAUAAAGACCUCUACAACAAACAAUGGAGACGGGUCCAAGCCCUUUCCAACCAGUUCUGGACACGCUGGAGGCGAGAGUAUCUACCCACAUUGCAGCAAAGGCAGAAAUGGACCGGGUCGCGCAGAAACCUCCAAGUUGGCGACCUGGUUCUGCUAAAGGACAAGCAGGUUGCACGAAACAGCUGGCCCAUGGCCAGGGUCACUGCCACAUUCCCAAGCAAGGACGAUCGAGUAAGGAAAAUUGAGUUAAAAGGAAAAUAUCGCUAGAAUGUAUUUCCUGUUCGGGCGGCGCACUUCCGGUUCCGGUCAAGCACUUCCGGUUUGGGUCAAACACUGUUUUUGCUGAGAAACAGGCUCCUCAUGCAGAAGGCAGCAUGGAGAUGUAAUCAGAUGCCAUCUUCUCUGAAUUAUCAGGCUGGAACGCCUUUUCACCACAUGUUCAUGGAGACAAUUAAACAAGCUGCAACUAAACUCCAGGGUCUUCAUUUGUGGUUUAACUCGGUGUCACCAACAUCCUCGUUGAAAACACUACAAGUAUAUAGUAUAUACUAUACUAGUGUAUAUGCACACUGCAAAAAACAUGGGAAAGAAGAAGCUGAGGUUAUUUUGUCUCUGCCCUUGCUUUUGCUUCCUAUAUCACCUUUCCACAUACAGUGUGUGAACACCAACAGGUGAUUGGCUAUUUUGAAGAAUUUAAAACAUGCUUUGAGUUAGUUCACACUUUUUGUUUACUACUUAAUUCCAUAUGUAUUCAUUCAUAGUUUUGAUUCCUUCAGUGAGAAACUACAAUGUAAAUAGUCAUGAAAAUAAAGAAAAACCUUUAAAUGAGACUGUUAGUGUAUACAUAGAUGGCGUAAUAUUUCUGCAUUCCUGUGUUUGUAAAAUAAAUUAAAAACAAAAAAAAUCUGCACACUGAAAAAAACGUGGGAAAGAAGAAGCUGAGGUUAUGUUGUCUCUACUCUUUGUUUUACUUCCUUUAUCACCUUUCCACAUACAGUUUGUGAACACCGACUGAUAUGUAGUAUCAGUCAUUUCUGUUAUUUAACUGUAUGAACACACUCUGAACACCAAGAAGACAUGGAAGCUGUGCUUGGAUUGAUAGUGAUGUUGCUGGGAUUGUCUCAUGGUGAGCUGAAAACAGUCGAGGAAUUGUUUUUCUUGUAUUUCUUUUAAAAUAAAUUCAGGAUCUGUUGAAUACAUUUAAUUCUUUUUCUAUAUUAUCACUUUUAAUUGUAAUAGCAAACUCUGACAUCACUUCAUGUGAAUGGCACUUUGAGGAAACAUAACAACUAUGAUGGAUUUUCUUAAGCUGAGACAUGGUUAUUGGACCCACCCAGUGAGACAUUCAAAAUUUCAUGUUUUUAGGGCUACAGUGCCAAUUAAAAUCAUUUCAUGCUGUUCAUAAUUUUAUUUUAAUACAAUUUUAAUGAGACGACACAAUUUAUUUUACACUACUUAAUAUGGAAAUGUGUAUUUCUUGGGAAUUUAAGUUGUCAGUUUCAAAAACCUUCUAGUAUCAUUGAUAAAUGGUUCUCUCUCUUCCUCUCAGUCCUUCACACAGUAAUUUAUUUUUCUUCAAGGCUUGAAACCUAACUAUGUUUCAGUCACAGACAUGCGUGCAACAAUAACUGCAUCUUUGCAAAAAUACAGACAGGCAGCAGCCACAAAAACACCAUUUCUGUUUUUGGUAAACAUUUGUCAGUGCUGCCAGUCCAUUGUAAUAAUUUUGCUUUCAUUUCCUUUUGUGUGUGUGUAUGUUUGCAGGUGUGGAAACUUACUGUGAUGGCAGACAGGAUGGAGCUCAGUGUUAUGGAGCUUUGGGAGGAAGUGUGGAGAUCAAGCUGAUGAACAGCACCUCAAAAAUACCUCGAUACCAACUGUUAAAGAAUUCAUUAAAAAUACUAGAUGUGAGAAAGAAAAAGAUUCUUUCUAAUAUCAUACAAAAUAGGUCUCUCUUUUUUCCCAGUAAUGGAACAUUUAGGCUCAAUUACCUGAGCAGGAAUGACAGUGGUAAUUAUAGCCUUAUAACAUUUAAUUCAGAUGGAAAAGCAUCAGACGAGCAGACUCUACACUUGUUUGUUCAAGCUCCUGUGUCCUCUGUCCUGCUGGUCUCUGAGUGUCUGUCCCAGGGAGAGAGGAGGGUGUCCUGCUCCUCUGAGGGAGGGGACAGUCCUCAGUACAGCUGGACUCUGGAUGGACGCACACUGACAGAUGCUGAGCUCCUUUCUGUAAAUAAUGAGACUAACAUCAUCAUUCUGAAACAGCACGUCUCAGGACGUCUGGUCUGCUCAGUGAGGAACAACGUCAGUGAUGCCUUCAAAGUACAGAAGAUAUCUACCUGUGGUGUGGGAACUUACUGUGAUGGCAGACAGGAUGGAGCUCAGUGUUAUGGAGCUUUGGGAGGAAGUGUGGAGAUCAAGCUGAUGAACAGCACCUCAAAAAUACCUCGAUACCAUUUGUUAAAGAAUUCAUUAAAAAUACUAGAUGUGAGAAAGAAAAAGAUUCUUUCUAAUAUCAUAGAACAUAAAUUUCUCUUUUUUCCCAGUAAUGGAACAUUUAGGCUCAAUUAUCUGAGCAGGACAGACAGUGGUAAUUAUAGCCUAAAAACCUUUGAUUCGGAUGGAAAAGCAUCAGACGAGCAGACUCUACACUUGUUUGUUCAAGCUCCUGUGUCCUCUGUCCUGCUGGUCUCUGAGUGUCUGUCCCAGGAAGAGAGGAGGGUGUCCUGCUCCUCUGAGGGAGGGGACAGUCCUCAGUACAGCUGGACUCUGGAUGGACGCACACUGACAGAUGCUGAGCUCCUUUCUGGAAAUAAUGAGACUAACGUUAUCACUCUGAAACAGCACGUCUCAGGACGUCUGGUCUGCUCAGUCAGGAACAACGUCACUAACGUUUUCAUAGAACACAGGAUGUCUACCUGUGCUCCAUCAGUGGGAUACAGACAUCAGGAUAAGUCCUUGCUUAUAUGCGGUUUGCGAGCAGUUGUGGUAAUUCUCUUGCUAAUUGGGAUUUACAUCUACUUCGCUUGGAAAAAAAAGAAACAUGCCAAAGCUGAAGUCUCUGCUGUCCCACAAACAAGAGGAGAUCCAGAAGACUCUGUUCUGAUGGUUGAAAUGAGUUCUGCAACUUACACCAACACCUAGUGUCACCUUUUACUUGCUGUUGUUUUUGUCAUUGGUUCACAAGCAUGAAAAUAACAUUUAGAGAGAAAUUCUUGUUUCACAGACAGCUCAUAUUGAAUUAUGAUGAGAAGCUCUGUGGUUUCUGGGUUUUACAUUUUUAAUACAAAUCUUUACAAUUCUUAAACAAUAAAGUCUUGAAUUAAGUUUA
ensembl:lncRNA